rnacentral:rRNA from 1 species
UACGGAGGGUGCGAGCGUUAAUCGGAAUUACUGGGCGUAAAGCGUGCGCAGGCGGUUUGUUAAGCGAGAGGUGAAAGCCCCGGGCUCAACCUAGGAAUUGCGCUUGUGACUGGCGGGCUCGAGUAUGGUAGAGGCGGGUGGAAUUCCUGGUGUAGCAGUGAAAUGCGUAGAGAUCGGGAGGAAUACCCGUGGCGAAGGCGGCCCCCUGGACAAAGACUGACGCUGAGGCACGAAAGCGUGGGGAGCAAACAGG